rnacentral:rRNA from 1 species
AUACGUAGGGGGCAAGCGUUGUCCGGAAUGAUUGGGCGUAAAGGGCGCGUAGGCGGCCUUCUAAGUCCGAUGUGAAAGUCCUGCUUUUAAGGUGGGAAUUGCAUUGGAAACUGGAGGGCUUGAGUGCAGGAGAGGUAAGUGGAAUUCCCGGUGUAGCGGUGAAAUGCGUAGAGAUCGGGAGGAACACCAGUGGCGAAGGCGACUUACUGGACUGUAACUGACGCUGAGGCGCGAAAGUGUGGGGAGCAAACAGGAUUAGAUACCCUGGUAGUCCACACUGUAAACGAUGAGUGCUAGGUGUAGGAGGUAUCGACCCCUUCUGUGCCGGAGUCAACACAAUAAGCACUCCGCCUGGGGAGUACGGCCGCAAGGUUGAA